GGGCCGGUAGCUCAGUUGGUAGAGCAAAUGACUCUUAAUCAUUAGGUCGUGGGUUCGAACCCCUCCCGGCUCACCA
rnacentral:tRNA from 2 species